GACAAACGCUGGUGGCGUGCCUAAUACAUGCAAGUCGAACGACGAAAGCCUUCGGGCAAGUAAGAGUGGCGCACGGGCGAGGAACACGUAGAUAAUCUGCCCUUCAGUGGGGAAUAACUCUCCGAAAGGAGUGCUAAUACCGCAUAAGACCACAAGCUCUGCGGAGCAAGGGGUUAAAGGAUUUAUUCGCUGAAGGAUGAGUCUGCGUCCGAUUAGCUAGUUGGUGAGGUAAUGGCUUACCAAGGCAAUGAUCGGUAGAUGGCCUGAGAGGAUGAUCAGCCGCACUGGAACUGAGACACGGUCCAGACUCCUACGGGAGGCAGCAGUAGGGAAUAUUGCACAAUGGGGGAAACCCUGAUGCAGCAACGCCGCGUGAGUGAUGAAGGCUCUAGGGUCGUAAAGCUCUGUCGUAUGGGAAGAAAAAAAUGACGGUACCAUACAAGAAAGGACCGGCCAACUUCGUGCCAGCCGCCGCCGUAA
rnacentral:rRNA from 1 species